UACGUAGGUGGCAAGCGUUAUCCGGAUUUACUGGGUGUAAAGGGCGUGUAGGCGGGAGUGCAAGUCAGAUGUGAAAACCACGGGCUCAACCUGUGGCCUGCAUUUGAAACUGUACUUCUUGAGUACUGGAGAGGCAGACGGAAUUCCUAGUGUAGCGGUGAAAUGCGUAGAUAUUAGGAGGAGCACCAGUGGCGAAGGCGGUCUGCUGGACAGCAACUGACGCUGAGGCGCGAAAGCGUGGGGAGCAAACAGG
rnacentral:rRNA from 1 species